rnacentral:rRNA from 1 species
AUUGAACGCUGGCGGCAGGCCUAACACAUGCAAGUCGAGCGGACGAAGGGAGCUUGCUCCUGGAUUCAGCGGCGGACGGGUGGGUAAUGCAUAGGAAUCUGCCUGGCAGUGGGGGAUAACGUCCGGUAACGGGCGCUAAGACCGCACACGGCCUGAGGGAGAAAGGGAGGGUUCUCCGGCGCCCGCGCAAUAAGAUGAGCCUAGGACGGAUUACCUAGUCGACGGGGAAAAGCCCUACCAAGGCGACGAUCCGUAACUGGGCUCAGAGGAUGAUCAGACACACUGGAACUGAGACACGGUCCACACUCCGACGGGAGGCAGCAGUGGGGAAUCUUGCGCGAUGGGCGAAUGCCUGAUCCUGCAAUGCCGCGUGUGUGAUGAAGGUCUUCGGAUUGUAAAGCACUGUAAGUUGGGAGGAAGGAAAGUACUUUUAUACCUGGCUGUUUUGACGUUACCGACAGAAUAAGCCCCGGCUAACUUCGUG